GGAGAGGUGCCAGAGUGGCCGAAUGGGGCGGUCUCGAAAACCGUUGACCCUCCGGGGUCCGAGGGUUCGAAUCCCUCCUUCUCCGCCA
rnacentral:tRNA from 1 species